rnacentral:rRNA from 1 species
AUGGAUCUCUUGGAGGUCUUCCUUCAGCGGCGCAUCCAGCCUCUCCAAGCCCGAGACCACCCGAUGUGGAUGUAUUCGGGUCUAGAAGACUCCACUCGGAUCUACCCGGAGAAGGUCGAUGACGACACGCUGGAGAAGUGGCUGUCGAGCAUUACCGGGAACAAGGACAAUCCCAGAGGAGCCAGGAGAGUUCUCCCAUUCGACCAGUCGCGUGCACCAGAGCAGGCCAUUACUGAAAUGUAUUCGAUGCCCAACGGGGAGCAAGAGCAAGCUCUGGAAGGCGAGGCGAGUGGUGGCGAAAGUGGCGAGUGGACUUCUGAUGGUGAAGGGGAUGGUGGAAGUGACGACUCAAGUGACGGGGAAGAAGUCGAGUCGCCUCCUCGCAUAGAGAGACGAUCCAAGCUUGACCAAGAACGGCCGAGUGCCCGCGACAAGGCAACUGCUCAGGCUGGCCAGUCUUCGAAGCGUCCUCGGGUCUCUUCACCAACCCCGACUGAGAAGGCGCCAAAACACCCCAAAGUUGCAGAGCCGAAGACUCGGAAGGCGCUGCCAAAGAUCAAGAUCGAUAUCCCUGUCGCCUCCGCUGCUGCCACUUCCGGGACCUCAUCUUACAGGGAUGAUGAUGAGGUGAUGGAGGAUGUGGUCACUUCUAAUCCAGCUCCCAACAUUAUUGACCUCCCUGAUGAUGAUGAAGAGCCCAAGAGGUCUUUGACGAGGAAGAGUAGGCGAGCUCCUGCAAGUGAGGUGCUACAGUCGACGCCGAGGGCGGAACCAGUCAUUUAG